rnacentral:rRNA from 15 species
GACUCUCGGCAACGGAUAUCUUGGCUCUCGCAUCGAUGAAGAACGCAGCAAAAUGCGAUACUUGGUGUGAAUUGCAGAAUCCCGUGAACCAUCGAGUUUUUGAACGCAAGUUGCGCCCGAAGCCAUUAUGCUGAGGGCACGUCUGCCUGGGCGUCACG